UCUGUGUGUUAAUUAUUUCUUCUUAGUUUGGAUUGUGGAUUUUUUGCUGAAGUGUUUAAUAUGUUCAUUUUGUUUGUUUUUUGUAAUGACCAAGUGUUCAAAGUGCCAACUCAUUUUAAGUGUUUUCUCUUUACUUGAAUUAGUUUUCUUAUUAUGGUAGUCUAUUGUUUGAUCUGUAAUACAAUUCUGGAUUUUAUUGGAAGCUAGGAUUUUGUGUGUUUUUGGAAAAGCAACGCACAAGAGUUUAGUAAUUCUGAUUCAGAUUGUUUGCAAAUUAUUUAAACAAAGUAAUUUAGUCUUCGUAGUCUACACUAUAUUUUCUUGAAAAUGGUCUCAUUAAUUGAUAGUUUAAUAAAGAGUUUAUUUAACUCUGAAAAUUAUUAUUUAUUUUUUUGUGUGAAAUGUGUAAUUUGAAUAUAUGCUAAACAAUACUUUCUUCUUUUUAUGUGUGCUGGUGUAUUAACAAGAGUGAGUUGAGACAGUUGAGACUGCGAGCUGAGACUGCGAGCAGAGGUAAGGCAACUUUUGUAACCAUUAAAAACAAUUUAGAUCAUAGUGCUGAAGUAAGUGUUUAAUUGUAUAACAAAGCAUGGCUGACAAGUAUACCUUUUUUUUCUUUAAUGUGUGGUGGUGCACUGGUUAAAGACUGAGUUGUGUGAGUUGAGGUAAGGCAAUGUUUUGUAACCAUUUAAAAAAGAAUUUGGAAUGUACUGUGAAGUAAAUGUAUAACAAAGCAUGGCUGACAAGUAAACCUUUUUUCUUUUAUGCAUGGUCAUGCACUGGUUAAAGACUACAAGCUGAGGUAAGGCAACUUUUGUAACCAUUAAAAACAAUUUAGAACCGUGCUGAAGUAAGUGUUUAAUUGUAUAACAAAGCAUGGCUGGCAAGUAUACCUUUUUUUUCAUUUGGGGUGGCACAUUGGUUAAAGACUGAGUUGAGGUAAGUCAAACUUUUUGAACAUUUAGAAUAUACUGCUUAAGUACAUUUAAAUGUAUAACAAAGCAUAGCUAAAAAGUGUACCUUUUUCUUUUAUGUGUGGUGGUGCACUAGUAAUAGACUGUGAGUUGAGACGAGUUAAAUGCUUGCUUUUUUCAUGGCAAAAUUAAGACCAUAUCCAUGUGUGCUGGGCAGUCUUAAGAUAUUCAUCAGCACUUGUGUCUUGUCAAGGGCUUAUGUGAAUAAUGUAGCUGGUCAUUAUCAAAUCUUGCAUUGAUAUUUUAAUUAAGAAACUUUUAUUCGGUUUUCAUUCCUGUUGAUAUUAAUAUAUUUUCUUGAAAAAUUGUCUCCUUAAUUGAUAGUUUAUUUAGCUGUGAAAUGUUUUUUUUUUUUUUUUUUGUGAAAGUGAAAUGUGUAAAUUGAAUAUAUGCUAAACAAUACUACUUUGUAUGUGUGCUGGUGAAUGGAUAAGAGUGUGAGUUGAGGUAAAAUUUAUAAUUUUAAUGUAAUUUUUAAAUGUAUGAAGUGAAGUUCUUAAAAUGCAUAACUUAUCACCCUCUUCUUUUUUGCAUGUGCUGGUACACUGGGAAAAGACCGAGUUGAGGUAAGUCAAACUUUUCGAACUUUAUUAAAAUGCAUUUAGAACAUCCUGCCAAAGUGUUUAAAUGUACAACAAAGCCUGGCUGACAAGUAUACCUUUUUUCUUUUAUGCAUGGUGG